ACGGAAGCAUUCAUAAUCAAUUUGGGAAAGAGCAAAGAUAUAUUAGAAAAGAAAUUGUUUACAUUUGGUAUUGUAAAAAUAGUUGCAAGUGAUCAAACUGAUGUAUUUCGAAUAGGCGAACCAUUUUGUAUCGUUGGAAGUGUUGCUAUGUACCACCUUAAAGUUAAACUUAUCCUUUAAUGGUUUAAUAAAAGAAUUUUUAAAGUUUUUU